UACGUAUGGUGCAAGCGUUAUCCGGAUUUACUGGGUGUAAAGGGAGCGCAGGCGGCACGGCAAGCCUGAUGUGAAAGCCCGCGGCCCAACCGCGGGACUGCAUUGGGAACUACCGGGCUGGAGUGCCGGAGAGGUAGGCGGAAUUCCUAGUGUAGCAGUGAAAUGCGUAGAUAUUAGGAGGAACACCAAUGGCGAAGGCGGCCUACUGGACGGUGACUGACGCUGAGGCUCGAAAGCGUGGGGAGCAAACAGG
rnacentral:rRNA from 1 species